AUUGAACGCUGGCGGCAUGCCUUACACAUGCAAGUCGAACGGUAACAGGUCUUCGGAUGCUGACGAGUGGCGAACGGGUGAGUAAUACAUCGGAACGUGCCUAGUAGUGGGGGAAAACUACUCGAAAGAGUGGCUAAUACCGCAUGAGAUCUACGGAUGAAAGCAGGGGAUCGCAAGACCUUGUGCUACUAGAGCGGCCGAUAGCAGAUUAGGUAGUUGGUGGGAUAAAAGCUUACCAAGCCGACGAUCUGUAGCUGGUCUGAGAGGACGAUCAGCCACACUGGGACUGAGACACGGCCCAGACUCCUACGGGAGGCAGCAGUGGGUAAUUUUGGACAAUGGGCGAAAGCCUGAUCCAGCAAUGCCGCGUGCAGGAUGAAGGCCUUCGGGUUGUAAACUGCUUUUGUACGGAACGAAAAGCCCCUGGUUAAUACCCUGGGGUCAUGACGGUACCGUAAGGAUAAGCACCGGCUAACUACGUGCCAGCAGCCGCGGUAA
rnacentral:rRNA from 1 species